GCUACAAUGGUCGGGACAACGGGUUGCCAAAGCGCGAGCUGGAGCUAAUCCCUAAAAGCCGGCCUCAGUUGGGAUUGCAGGCUGCAACUCGCCUGCAUGAACUUGGAGCUGCUAGUAACCGCAGGUCAGCAUACUGCGGUGAAUACGUUCUCGGGCCUUGUACACACCGCCCGUCACGUCAUGGAAGCCGACAACACUUGAAGUCCGUGAGCUAACCCGCAAGGGAGGCAGCGGCCGAGGGUGGGGUUGGUGACUGGGACGAAGUCGUAACAAGGUAGCUGUACCGGAAGGUGCGGCUGGAUCACCUCCUUU
rnacentral:rRNA from 1 species